rnacentral:lncRNA from 1 species
CAUGUAAGAACUCGAUAGUUGCAAUAUGCAAAGUAGUCCUUUGACCCGAGACAUCAUAGAUGUCUAAUGGUUAGGUCCUUGAUCUUUGAUCAUGUUAAAUGGCAUUCCAUUGGAGUGUCCACGACAUUGUUGGGAUCAAGCUAUCUAGUCAUGUAGGCAUAUGAAUGUACAACAAGGGAUCUCUAACCUUCCAUGGUGGAAGGAGAAUACUCUAAGAUAUGAUUCGGGAGUCUUUGGCCAAAGCAUAUGAAUAUGACUUAGGAAGUUUGUUCCAAAUCAUGUUCAAUUGAAUCAUAUAGAGAAGUAUCACAUUGGAUA